ACAUGGCCAGUGGGUGCUCCAGCCCUGAAGGCUGGACAAAGGGCAGCUGCUUUGUGGGACCCGGGUAGAGCUUGGCCACGUGGGCCGAGUGCCCGGUUUCUGUUUUUCUCCCGGUGCAGGAAAACAUGAAGAACGGGGAAAGUAGCUGCCGCAUGCCAAUGUGAAACUCCGAGGAGUCUAGCCAUUCUGAUCUGGCCUUCCAGGUCAUUAGGAGGCUCUGCCAUCGUGUGAGGAGGGAAAGCCUGCUGUCUGGAGAGCACACUGGUCUCCAGCGUGGGGAGAGAGAGCACUUUCGGGCUUUGCUGAGGAGGGUCUUCAGAAAAAAGAGUACUGCCAACAAGAAGGCCCAAUCAAGAUCCUCCCACAACAAGAGCAGAUUGUGAGCGUGGCAAGCUCUAUGCUGAGCACUGGAAGGACAAAGAGAGAUUGGGCACAGACUUCUCACUGAUCCAGGUGAUGAAGAGCUCACAUCUGAGAGGAUGUGACCAUGGAUGACCCACCAGAAUGUCAUGGGAUCCAGCUACAGCCAAGGAAGCACAGAGCACCGUGGGAGCGAUUUAUUGUGCUUGGGGAUGGGGAAGGGGACAUGGGAGGAGCCAUAUUGAGAAAGUAGCAUGGGUACUUGGCUUCACAGAGUGUGGCAGCUUUCAUCAGGAAGUGAUGGUGGGGGAACAGCGUCUCUGGCGGAGGGAAGCAGCAGGUGCAGAGGUGCAGAGGUGUGAGGAGUCUGUCACAUUCUGGGAAGGGAGUAUGGUUGGGUGACAAUGCAAGACAGAGAAAGCAAGGAGGGAAGGAGGGGCCUAGCCUGAGGAAUAAAGAAUAAUAAAAGCAGGAAAACAA
rnacentral:lncRNA from 1 species